CCUACGGGUGGCAGCAGUGAGGAAUAUUGGUCAAUGGACGAGAGUCUGAACCAGCCAAGUAGCGUGAAGGAUGACUGCCCUAUGGGUUGUAAACGUCUUUUAUAAAGGAAUAAAACGAGGCACGUGUGCCCUUUUGCAUGUACCUUAUGAAUAAGGAUCGGCUAACUCCGUGCCGGCAGCCGCGGUAAUACGGAGGAUCCGAGCGUUAUCCGGAUUUAUUGGGUUUAAAGGGAGCGUAGGUGGGUUUUUAAGUCAGUAGUGAAAGUUUCCGGCUCAACCGUAAAAUUGCCAUUGAUACUGGCAGUCUUGAGUGCGGUUGAGGUAGGCGGAAUUCGUGGUGUAGCGGUGAAAUGCUUAGAUAUCACGAAGAACCCCGAUUGCGAAGGCAGCUUACUGAACUGUGACUGACAUUGAGGCUCGAAAGUGUGGGUAUCGAACAGGAUUAGAUACCCUUGUAGUC
rnacentral:rRNA from 1 species